rnacentral:rRNA from 1 species
GUGCCAGCCGCCGCGGUAAUACAUGUGGGGCAAGCGUUGUUCGGAAUUACUGGGCAUAAGGGUGCGUAGGCGGUUUGUUAAGUCAGGGGUGAAAGUUUUCGGCCCAACCGGAAAAUGGCCUUUGAUACUGGCGAACUCGAGUGCGUGAGGGGUAACCGGAACGAGUGGUGUAGCGGUGAAAUGCGUAGAUAUCACUCGGAAGGCCAAAGGCGAAGGCAGGUUACUGGUACGCAACUGACGCUGAGGCACGAAAGCGUGGGGAGCAAACAGGAUUAGAUACCCUGGUAGUCC